AGAGUUUGAUCAUGGCUCAGAAUGAACGUUGGCGGCGUGGAUUAGGCAUGCGAGUCGAGCGAGAACCGUAGCAAUACGGGGACAGCGGCGAAAGGGACAGUAACGGGUAGAUUAUCUGCCCUCAGGACCGGGAUAGCUGCGGGAAACUGCAGGUAAUACCGGAUAACAUCUCCGGAUCAAAGGUGUGAUUCCGCCUGAGGAUGAGUCUGCAUCCUAUUAGCUAGUUGGUAGGGUAACGGCCUACCAAGGCUUUGAUGGGUAGCGGGUGUGAGAGCACGACCCGCGUCAUUGGGACUGAGACACUGCCCAGACACCUACGGGUGGCUGCAGUCGAGAAUCUUCGGCAAUGGGCGCAAGCCUGACCGAGCGACGCCGCGUGUGGGAUGAAGGCCUUCGGGUUGUAAACCACUGUCGGAGGGGAUGAAAUGCAGGUGGGUUCUCCCAUCUGUUUGACAUAUCCUCGGAGGAAGGACGGGCUAAGUUCGUGCCAGCCGCCGCGGUAAUAC
rnacentral:rRNA from 1 species